AAGACUGGCCCGGCACUGCAGCAAAGACUGCCUCCACCUGGUGUACAAGUGGGCUAGAGCUCCCUCCAUCUGCUGGAGUGCCUGUUUGCGCUGGGCCUCUGUCUCAGCAUGGAUCAAGUCACCAAGCCCCUCCACACUGGUUGAGCUGGAACAUAUCCUGGCAGAGUGCCAAGGGCGGCCAGCACAGCAGCAAUCACAGCAGGCCCUCCAUGGAUGUGCAACUCACAGCUGUCCUCCCCUGUAAAGCUGUGGGGUCCUGGGAACCACAAAACCAGCCCACGGUCCAAAGCCUCUCCUGUGAAAUUACAUCAUACUAUAAUCAUUGGUGUAUUUCAGAAAAUAUGUUUAAGCAUAAUUUUUAGGGAAUAAUUGUACAGGAUUGUACUCAAUUCUUCUUCCCAACCUUACCUUGUUUUGUAUCAAUGCAUUUGCUCAUUCCCAUCCCAUCCCCCCAACUAUUUCCUAUUCCUCUCCCUCAAUCCUUCAGUACCUAUGCACAACCCUUCCCUUUCUACUGAAUUCUUUGUUUCCAAAGAACAGAUACACAAGAAAAGCCCCUUCUUCUCCAAUUCUUCUCUCAUUCCCAGCUUAGUGAUCCACCUCUCCACUUAAUUUUUCACCAUAUUAUCCAUUGUAGUUCAAUAUACAUAAUAAGGUAUGAAAUCUUUCCAAAUAUACAAGCUAUGGCCUGUCAGAGAUUGUCUGAAGCUCAUCAUAGUUUUUAAACUUCUGUUCCUUUCUGAAGAACUCCCACAUUAUAGCCAUGAUAGAUGUACUGUUGAGAAAAUUCUAACCUGGUAUAAGCCUAAAUGAUGAAAACACAUAACUAUGUGUCUAUUUUUUUACCUGAAGAUUAACACUUUUCUGUGCUGUUAAAAUAGUUCACUAGUUUUCCUUUUUCUUUUGUUUCAUGCAUUUCUUAUACCAGGUUAAAGUUUUCCUAAUAGAAGUACAUGAUCAAACAAAAUAAAUAAAUCACUGUU